GAGAGUUAAAUAGUACGUGAAAUUGUUGAAAGGGAAACGAUUGAAGUCAGUCAUGCUAGUGAAAAAUCAGUUUAACGGGUUUUGAGUUCAGGAGUAGAGGCAGGGUCAAACCGUUUCUCUUUUGUACUUGGGAUUUGUUAGAUGUACUUUUUCUUUGGCAGGUCAGCGUCGAUUUCGGAGGUUGUAAAAUACUUGGGGGAAAGUAACUCUGUUUCGGGAGAGUAUUAUAGACCCUGGGGGAUGCAGCCUGCGGGAUCGAGGAUUGCAGCAAAUGCCUUUGGCUUGUCGCCUGAUCUCUGGAUGUUACCUCGCUUGUGACAACAUUCUUGCCACCUGUGGGUACUAAUGCCCAUUAGGUUAGAGCGAUCAAAAAUUUUGCUAAGGAUGCUGACGUAAUGGCUUUAAACGA
rnacentral:rRNA from 1 species